GCGCGAAAGCGUGGGGAGCAAACAGGAUUAGAUACCCUGGUAGUCCACGCCCUAAACGAUGUACACUAGUUGUUGGGGUGCUAGUCAUCUCAGUAAUGCAGCUAACGCAUUAAGUGUACCGCCUGGGGAGUACGGUCGCAAGAUUAAAACUCAAAGGAAUAGACGGGGACCCGCACAAGCGGUGGAGCAUGUGGUUUAAUUCGAAGAUACGCGAAGAACCUUACCUGGGCUUGAUAUCCUAAGAACCUUUUAGAGAUAAGAGGGUGCUAGCUUGCUAGAACUUAGAGACAGGUGCUGCACGGCUGUCGUCAGCUCGUGUCGUGAGAUGUUGGGUUAAGUCCCGCAACGAGCGCAACCCACGUAUUUAGUUGCUAACGGUUCGGCCGAGCACUCUAAAUAGACUGCCUUCGUAAGGAGGAGGAAGGUGUGGACGACGUCAAGUCAUCAUGGCCCUUAUGCCCAGGGCGACACACGUGCUACAAUGGCAUAUACAAUGAGACGCAAUACCGCGAGGUGGAGCAAAUCUAUAAAAUAUGUCCCAGUUCGGAUUGUUCUCUGCAACUCGAGAGCAUGAAGCCGGAAUCGCUAGUAAUCGUAGAUCAGCCAUGCUACGGUGAAUACGUUCCCGGGUCUUGUACUCACCGCCCGUCACACCAUGGGAGUUGAUUUCACUCGAAGCCGGAAUACUAAACUAGUUACCGUCCACAGUGGAAUCAGCGACUGGGGUGAAGUCGUAACAAGGUAACCGUAGGAGAACCUGCGGUUGGAUCACCUCCUUUCUA
rnacentral:rRNA from 1 species